AAAGCAGUGGAAGUAUUUGCAUAGAAUAGCAUCUGGAGCCUAUGUGUACGCGAAUACUUCCAGAGGGAAAGCAGUUUUCCACAUUCAUUACAGCCUAGUAAGGAAGAGGAGAAAAGGAACAAGGGAGGAUAGAAAAGGAACAGGGGACUCCUUUUGUAUCUGUGCCCAAUAUGGUUUCUUUUGAUUUUUCAUUCUCCAUAGUCAAGGGCUCCCCAUGGGUUCUCAUCUAUUACCCAGGCAUUGCCAUACCUGCCUCCCUGUGUGAAAGUGGCUCAGCUGCCGGCUCUGGAUGAGGCUAACAGAUCACAUCUAUCUCCCUGGCAUCCACUGAGCGCACAGGGCUCCAAGGAUCAAGCCCCGGACAAGAACACAAAAGCAGGCCCAUCGUCCAUCUCAUUUUAUAUGAAGUUCUACCUCUCAGAAGUGAUUUAGAGUUGGGGAGGGUCAGCCUGCCACACAUUUCCUGGCAGGUGGUCCAACAUGGAAAGCUAAAGCCGAGCAGACCCAAGCUUUUGAACUGACUGACUAGGAUGGCUGAAUACUUCAGAGGUUUUUCUUCCGGGAAUUAAGGGAAAAAAAAUGGUUAAAACAGAGAUGGAAUUGGUCUGAGUCACCCAAUGUGACGAUGCAACGUACAUACCCAGAAGUAAUCAGGUAACUAGGCUUAUCACAGUCAGCACCACUGACGUGGUGCUGGGACAGGAGACGAUAAAAGUGAGUCCAGAACAAAGACCUUGCUUUCCUGGUCUCUUGCACAAUUAAAGAAGAAAAAGAGUGGCAGUUGGGCUGCAUACACAGGAAAAAUGGAUAACUCACCUCCCAAAACAUGGGCUGAUAUGCUGACCCCAAAGCAGCGUAGGAAUUUUACAAAGAAACUUACAUAUGACAAACAUACUUCAGUACCAGUGUGAGUCUGAAUGGCUGGUUCAAGACAAGUGGCCCAAACCCAAAUAUACAGCAAGUCAUUUGACUGCAAGGGUGUAAGCAAAAAGAAGAGUUCACAUGUGGCUUCAUGCUCCUGUUAAAUCUGGUGGACAGUAAUACAUACAUGAAAUUAUUUACUGCCUACAAAACACUUGACAAUGGCUAGGCAGCUGGUAUACUGUGACUGCUGCUUGUUAUGCUAAUCAUAAUAGUCUCAAUGCUACUUGUGCUGCUCCCCCAUUUGUUUAUUGUACCCACCUGUUUUCUCUCAUCACAUACUAAGAUUAUAAACUCUGUGGGACUCCAUAUGUGUGUGUGUGCAAUGUUAGCACAACGGGUCCAGGAUCGGGGUUUCUAGUUCAAAAUAAUCAGGAAUAACAUUUAGAGAUGAAUCUGAUCCACAUUGGGCAGCUCUUUCACACACUGACUUUCAAGGGCUAUUCACCAUUUUGCAGAGCUUUGCACAUGAGGAUGAUGUGUGUGACCAAAAGGAAGUUGAGUCACGCUAAGUGCACACAUCAUCCCAAAUGUGUGAGUCAGUGGUCAAGCAAUGAUUUAUAUGUCAGUCACCUGACAGUAAAUGUUCCAGGCUGUUGGCUCUGCACCACCCAGAUCCUCCAGAGCAAACGUUCUCAAGAAACAUGCAGCACACCACAAGACAAAGGUAGAAAAGGAUCACAUUGUGCUGCUGCACUAAUUUGGAGUGUGACUUAUUCCCCUUCCCACCCGCAAGUGAUUAGGCCCUCGUGUCAAUCAGUGAUAGCCACAGAGUCAACCAGUUAUAGCCAUGAUGACAUAUGAUGGCUAUAUACAAGUACAGGGCUUGGUUUUCAGAGAAUGCAUUUUAAGGGGUUAUAGCUGGUUGGAACAUUUCAAUGAAAAACAGAAACAAAAUGUAAUUUGUUCUUUUUUUCCCAUUUUCCAGCCAGCUCUAUCCAUGUUGCACUACAUAGUACAAACAAAUGCAUGUAAAUAUUCUCAAAAGUUUGCAUUACUCCUUGGUGCAGGGAAAUCCGUGUCCUCUAUUGCAUAUGCAACAUAUCAUCAAAAAAGAAAAAGAUAUCCACCAAAAGAAUGAGGGUUGAGGUAACAGACCACCCAGACACCAACUGCUACAGUGGAAAACUUAGCAGACUGGUGGUAACUGGGGCCUGAUGUGAGGAGCAAUCAUGAAACCUGGUUCAUUUCUCACUGUCCUUUCCCCUUGAUGAUGUUCCCUCUCUCUGCAAAUUAACAUGCAUUAACACUCACAGUCCGUUCUGUUAACAGGGUGGGAACAGAAGCAGUAGAAGAGCUGACUAAGUACAUGAACCCAGUUCACACAUUGCUGAAUAAUUUCAAGUAUGAUUUGCAAGAUGCAACAUUCUGAGAAGAGUUUGAGCAGGACUAUAGGGCAACCAAAGAAGAGAUUGCCUAAAAACAAUCUAUCCUAGAAAAAAGAAGAACAGGAGUACUUGUGGCACCUUAGAGACUAACAAAUUUAUUAGAGCAUAAGCUUUCGUGGACUACAGCCCACUUCUUAAGUAGUACUCCUGUUCUUCUUUUUGCGGAUACAGACUAACACGGCUGCUACUCUGAAAUCUAUCCUAGGUUUUCCACUGGAAAAUGCUUUGAGAGAUCAGUUCUCUUUCUUAGUUGUUGUGCUAUGAUCACUACCAUGAUAUCUAUUAUUAAAAUGGGCAUAAGGUGAUCUCUGUAUCUGCAUCUUCUGCCCCCAUUCUGAAGGGAGUGGUGGUGGUGUUUAUUUCAGUUAGCUAGUUUAAUAGACCAUUUUGGUGGGGUUGUUAGAGGAAGGCUAGGUCAAACUAAAAACAAAAAGCCCAAUUCAUUAUAUUUUCAUUAGAGCUGUGAGAGCUUCAACAGUUCUGCUCUGAAGUUUUCUGCACCUAUAUGUGUCAUGACAUUUUAUUUUGUGUUCUAAACUAGCUUACAUUAUGAGAAACAUAGUACUGGGGCAUCCUCGCCUAGCACCAGCUUUUAUUGUUCACUAUGGAACUUCUAGAAUCCACAGAGGACAUCUUUCCUGGACAUUGGGUAGAACCCUUUAAACUUUGAAAUGUUGCCAUGACCACCAGUGCUCAUAACUCAGUUUUUUGUCUUGUCUGAAAGAUGUCACCUAUAUCUUCAAAUAGUCCUUACCCAGGUGAGGGUAUUAGUUCAGUACUAAUUCAGAGAGAGGAGCAACAUCUAUCAAAUCACCAGCUUUACUUCCUGCUGCAUCCUGCUGAAAACGUGUUGUGAAAACUGACACUAUCUCAGCACAAGGGGGUGUGCCUGCAUUAUAAUGCUAGAAAAGACUUGUACUUAGGUAAUUAGCCUCCAUGGGAUAGAUUUCUUAGCCAGAUUCUUAAUAUGAUUUGCACUGCCCUCCAAGGGAAAAGUGAUCUCCUCUCAAGUAAUGUUGUCUCUAUAGUACAUGCAGUAACAUGAAUUUGUGAUCCUUUUAACACAUUAUUCCCAUGCAAAGAUAACAAUUGAAGUAAGACAUUUAUAAAACACACUUUCUUUUGUACAGAAGGUAGACGUCAUGGGGUAAUAUGAAGUCAGAAACAAUGUGAUGUCAUUGGCAAACAGAAUCUCAUCAGUUAUUCCAGUAAUGUACAAAAACAAAUUCCCCAGUAACUUAGUUCUCUUUCUGGGCAAUUUAAGCAGAUUGUAUAGAAGAGAUUGUUAGCUUUUAAUGAUGCAUUCUGCUAAGAAGCUACGCUCUUUAGUAUUAAUUAACACUUGAAGAAAGUUUAACCCUGAUAAUCAUAUAUUCAAGUAAUUUGCUGCAGAUUCUGUAAGUAUAAUACACCAGGUUCUAAAAAAAACCCCACUGAACAUGUGUCUAGACGUCUGAGGCAAUCCUAACACCAAACUGCAUCCUCUUUUUUGUUUCUACUUCUGCUCACUGUAAGCUAUUUGGGAAAGGGUCUGUAUUUCUCUUUGUGUAAUGUGCAAUGCAUAGCAAAUUGUUGGCUCUAAACAAA